rnacentral:tRNA from 1 species
AGCGGGGUAGAGGAAUUGGUCGACUCAUCAGGCUCACCGGUGGAGGAUAAGACUAAAUUCUCAAUUUGACCCAU